UGGACAUGUUGAGCAGAUGAUGAUAUAUUAUGUUUGUACUGAUUUAUUUGAUGUCUAAAAAUCGAGCUUUUUAAAACUGAUGCUCAGC
rnacentral:snoRNA from 1 species